rnacentral:lncRNA from 1 species
UCGGCGAGUGGUCCAAGCGAGCAGGACGCCCCUCCCAACCUGACCUUGAGAGCAAAGGCGUUUGAGAUCAUCGAAGACCUACGCCGGCGCGUGGAAAAGGCUUGCGGCCUUGUCGUCUCCUGUUCUGAUAUUCUUGCGCUUGCAGCCCGUGACUCUGUUUACCUGGUGAGUCGACUUGAAUCACUCUCUGUUAUCGUAGUUUUUGAUAAUGAUCCUAGCUAGCUAGCAUGGAGCACAUGAUUUAAUACCAUCUCCUGUAUCGUUAGAUACACAUCCGUAUAUAGUCCAGCCAUAUUCUUGAGAGUCGAGUCUAAAUCGAGAUUUUUUUUUUGAAAAAUAGCUUUUUUCCAUAUUUUUUUUUGAAAAAGUAGAGUAAUUGAUUUUUUUCCCCAAAAAAUAGCACACUUAAUAAAUUAAUUUGAAAACAAUGUAAUUAAUUAUCUUUCUUUAGGAAAUAUAGGAAUGAGAUUUGGGUUCAUUGAUUUUAAUAAUAUUAUUAAAAAUUAGCCUAGUUAUGGCUCUUGUUAGAUGUCAAGUAACUUAUUUUUAUAACAUAAAAAUAAUAUAUUGAGAAAUUAAACGUUCAGUAUAAAGCUUAGAUUUUUAAAAUAAAAUUGAAUUUUAAUUAUCCAAAUUUAUUAUGGUAUUUCAGGAAUAAGUGUUAAAUAAUUAAUUGCACAUGAAAUAAUUACAAAUAGAAGAUUACGAGUAAGUCAAGUCUUUCUGUCCCCCAUAUAAUAUAUGUCCUGCAACUAGGGGCAUAAAAUGUGACUGAUAAGACCAGAUAAGCUUAUCCAAUGUUAUUUUCAGAGCUUAGAUAUCCGCCUGUCGAUUUCUAUCCAGUUAGUUGAUCAGUGAUUGCGAGAGGCAAAUUAAUUCCUCAUAAUCUUUUAAAAUCCUAUUAAUUCUCGUUUGGUUCUGUAUUUUAAAAACAUUUUUAAAAUUUUUUUUUUUUUUUUAUUUUAAAUUAAUAUUUUUUUAGUAUUUUCCGUUUAUUUUGAUGGAUUGAUGUUAAAAAUAAUUUUUAACAAAUAAAAAUAAUAAUUUUUUAAUACUUUUUUAAGUGAAAAACAAUCAUACUCUCAAACACACUAAAUAUUAUAAUUAGUAGCGAUUGUUUAUUUAAAUAUUUUUUACUUAAAAAUAUAUUAAAAUAAUAUUUUUUUAAAUUUAUUUUGACUUUAAUAUUAAUAUAUUAAAAUAAUCUAAAAAUACUUAAAAAAAAAUACUCUUUCCCAGCAAAAUUAUUAUUAUGACUUUCUUGUGACUUGUCAUGAUCAUUAAACACAUAUAAAGGGUGUGUAUAUGCAUGCCUCCUUGAGUUCUGCUUUUUUAUUUUCAAAUUAAGUUUUAGAUAUUUUUAUGUUGAUAAUAAUUUUUUUAUUCUUUUUUUUUUUAAAAAAACAUUUUGUAUCACAUUCUCCGUGUGUGUGUAAUGAAUCAAUAAAAUUUCUUUCGGUAACAAGUCAUUACUCAUAACCAAAGCUAAUCCUUUUUAACUUCUAUGCAUUUUUUCUACUGCAGUCUGGUGGCCCAGAUUAUAAUGUUCCCUUGGGAAGGCGAGACGGUCUAAAAUUUGCAACUCAAAAUGAAACCUUAGACAACCUCCCGCCACCCUUUGCUAACGCCGACACAAUUCUCUCAUCUCUCGCCACCAAGGGCUUCGAUGCCACCGACGUGGUAGCCCUGUCCGGUGGCCACACCAUUGGUAUAAGUCACUGCAGCUCUUUCACUGACCGCCUCUAUCCAACCCAAGAUCCUACAAUGGACAAAACCUUUGCCAACAAUCUCAAGGAAGUUUGCCCCACAAGAGACUUCAAUAACACAACCGUGUUGGAUAUUCGAUCUCCUAAUAAAUUUGACAACAAGUACUAUGUUGAUCUCAUGAAUCGCCAAGGCCUGUUUACUUCAGACCAGGACUUGUACACGAACAAGAAGACAAGGGGCAUUGUCACUAGCUUUGCUGUUAAUCAAAGUUUGUUCUUUGAUAAGUUUGUGGUUGCAAUGAUCAAAAUGUCACAGCUCAAGGUCUUGACAGGAAAUCAAGGUGAAAUCCGCGCCAGUUGCGAGGAGAGAAAUUCAGGCUACAGUUACUUGGAGUCUGUGGUGGAAGAGGGUCUCGACGCACUGUCCGGAUUAAUAUGAAAGAAGUAAAUUCUAAUAACAUGAAAGGCCAAAUUCCAAUAGCUAGAUAAAAAAUGUUGGGUCGUUGUG